CCUUACUAUGCAGGUCGGCGGGUCGGCUGACCCGCCGGACGCCAGCGACGGCGCCAAGGGAGGAAGCCCGGUGAGAAUCCGGCGCGGUCCCGCCACUGUGAACCCGGCCACCGCCGGGUGAGCCAGGAACUCCCGCCGUCCAUACGACCACCC
rnacentral:ncRNA from 15 species